CACAGGAAAUUAUUUAAAUUAUCGCCAACCAUCCUUUGGUGUUGUACAAAAAGAAAUCCAAAGAAAUCAUACGCGAUGGGACGUUAUAGACUUUGUAUAAAUGACUUCAAAAAAGGAAGGUAUUGUAAUCUGUAGUCUAGAUAGACAAACGAACUCAUUGCUCAUCUAGUGAAAAGUGGGUAAAGCUUCAAACAGAAAUCUUGGACGAUUACGCGGUAGAAACAGGUAGGAUCGUGGUUUUAGUGACGGAGAAUUUCCGUGACUAAAAGACAAAUUUAGAGACCUUCAUGCUGUGAUGCUGCGAGCGCCGUAACGAGUUAGAGGCUGGUUGUCUGGGUCGCGGUGGCGUUGGGGCCUGCGCCCUCGGGACCGCCCCAAGACAAGCUCCUCCGCAUUUUGCUCCGCCACAUAGUUUUGUUGUGCAGUCAGUGGGCACGUUGCCGCUGUUCGACGACACGGAAGACACUCCUGAAAAAAAGUUUUAUUUUUGAAUUGAAUGAUAUUUUUGGUAUAAUCUUAAGUGUAAGCGAAAUUUAUGAUCUUUCAGAAGGUAGGUAAUUUUUCACAAAGUAGGUAGGGAAGAAGGUUUCUUGAUAUAUGAUCUCAAUAAACCGAUAAUUAAAAUUUGAAACGAAA